rnacentral:rRNA from 1 species
GACGUAGGGCGCGAGCGUUGUCCGGAUUUAUUGGGCGUAAAGAGCUCGUAGGCGGCUUGUUGCGUCGGCUGUGAAAACCCGCGGCUUAACUGUGGGCUUGCAGCUGAUACGGGCAGGCUAGAGUUCGGUAGGGGAGACUGGAAUUCCUGGUGUAGCGGUGAAAUGCGCAGAUAUCAGGAAGAACACCCGUGGCGAAAGCGGCUCUCUGGGACGGUACUGACGCUGAGACGCGAAAGCGUGGGGAGCGAACAGG